CACUCCCGCACUCGCGCGUCGCCGCCUAGCUGCUCCCCCCGCCGCAUGUGCCCGCCUUCGCGUCGUCGCCUCCGCUCGCCCUCGCGUUGUGGCCUCCGCUCGUCCGCGCGCCGUGGCCUCCGUUCGCCUCGUGUCGUCGCCCUUCUUCGUUCCCUGCAGCCACUGCCGUUGCUGCCACCACGGCCACCACCGCGCUCUUAUCCCCCCCUCCCUGCUCGUCUCCAGUCACCGAGCUGGUUGCCGCCGCGCUGCUCUCCUGCCUCGACGUGCCGGUCUGGCGGAGCUCGUUGUCUCAGCGAACCGCGACAUCAGCUCCGAGGACGCAGCGGCGAGGCUGCAAAGGUACGGGCCCAACAAGCUGGAGUGGCCCGAGCGUCCAAUCUCAACCAUCACCCGGAACCCUAGCCUUCCCCCCUUCCCAUGGCGCGGGAUGCCCUCCAAGAGGAGCGUCCGAUGCGUGGAGGCCAUGGAGUAGCUGCUUGGUUCAAGGGCAUGCCUUGGCUGCUCCCUAUGUUGAGCGUGUGGACGGGCCAGAUUCAGCGCUGGGUACAUGAUUGUGAUAUAAUAUUGCGUGGAAGAAAAACCACCGUUGCUUUUACGGUUUUAGGAUGUGCUGCAAGAUUGAUUUGCAUUGUUCUCAUGGUGCAUUCUUUCUGUAGGCAACGGAAUUAUUAGGCCCUUGUGUGCUGAAUUUGGCUCGACACAUUUACAAGACGAGAACAACCUCACGAGGAGGCACUAUUCAUUGCAACAGUGUUGCCUCUUGAUCCAACGGCCCAGAUCAUUCAGGUUGGCGCCCUCGCGCAAAGAUUCCCAUCCUCUCUGCCCUCGAUGACCAGUUUGGUGGCGCCGUGACCAGCAGCAACGGCCUCUCCUCGGCAAGCAUAGACCGCAGGGUCGUCUUCCUCUCUGCCCGCUUCCACACCGUCAUGGAUAUCUCAGACCUCAUCCUCGAGAAGCUCCUCUACCAGGUACAAACAUUCAGAUUCAGGCCGUCUCCCUCCCUCUGCAUCUCUGUAAAAAUAGGGUAAGCAUUUCUUCGGAAAUACACGCUGUUCUGAUUUGGUUCCUUCCGUAUUGACCUGUGCAAAAUAGGAUCAAUGAAACCAUUGGUUGUAAUCAAGAGUAUAACGAUAUGUUCUCUUCAUGGUGCUUUACCUCAAGAUGUUUGAUAUAUGCUCAUCUUGUACGUUUAACUUUUUUGGUAAUUACUGAAUUGUUUCCUUUUACAGUGUUCUGCCAGGGAGGAAGUGAACUCACAAAAAUAUGAGCCAUGUGACAUGAUCUGCUUGCAGCAAAUCUUACUUGCUCCCUAUUGGGAAUUUUUCUUUUCACAUGUUGUUGAGUGAUGGGCAAACAGUAAUGAUGCAAGUCGAGUGAUUGAUAAUCAGUAUAUUAUAGGUCCUGGUUUCAUUGUUUAAAGUCAUAAUGCAGUCAUGCUUGAGGUGGAUGUGUAUAAAAUUCUGUAACGACUGUAUGUUGCUGCCUACAUGUGCUUGAGUUGUUCAUGUUAUCCUAAAUGGAUAUUUCUAGAAGAUUAAUUUAGCCAAUAGGAUGCCUGGUCAUGCUUGAUAUGCUCUGUAUCAUGAUUCAUAUUUAAGUGUUUUCUCAUUCGUUGGUACAUAGAUAUACUAAAAAGCUUUUAGCUUUGUGAGUGUCAAAUAGUCUAUGAUUGCUUGUACCUUUCCAUUUGCAUUUGAUAAAGUUUCUAUAUCUAUAUGUUACUCAUGUGUCAUGCUAGAUAGAAUCACUUCUCUUUUGGAUAAUUGUCAUUAGCAUGCCACUUUCUUCUGGAUAAUUCAUAAUGGCCACCGGCGAGCUGCAUAUCGUUCAUAUUCCUUAGCGGCAUUAUGGUACUAACUGCCAUUUUUUAACUUUCUUUUGGAUAAUUCAUAAUGUCCACCGGCGACCUGCAUAUUGUUUAUAUUCCUUAGCGGCUUAUAGUACUAACUGCCAAUCUUUUGUAAAAUAAUUUUCUUUAUAUGCUUAUUGUUAUUGUUUCAUCUCACAAUUUUCUUCUCAAUUGAUCUGCAUAUUGUAGGCUAUUUCCUCUGCCAGAAUGAAAGGAGAAUAUGCUGAGAGUUGUGCAGAUAGCCUUCACGCAUGAUGAGAGUCUCAUUGCUUUACCGACAAGAAGCAAUGGAAGGCGAUGCCACUGCAGUUUAUGCGCUCAGGUUUCUCCGCUUCUGUUUGGCCUCUGUCAGUUGUAUUUUGAGCAUUGGCAUCUCUAGCCGAGCUGCGCAAGCAGAAUGCUGAGCAGGAGCAGCUCGGGGAUUAAGCAAAGGUCUAAAAUGUUGAAUCUCCCAAUAAAGUGGUACUGUAUAUCUCAGCUUCACUCAACAUCUUCUACCUCAACCAGAAUUCAGCUACUAAACACAUCCAGUUAAUCCAUGAAUAAUUGUGAACCUCUGGUAUUUCUCUCUCUGCCGUGUGAACUGAUAAAUGCCGGAUGACAAAGUUGUGAACUAAGCAGCAAAAUGAGGCCAAGAGCCCGAUGGGGUUGUAGCUAUCGCCCCCUUCGGUGUACAUGAACCAGGCAAAACGCCACUGUCAAUGUGAGCGAUGACGAGCGAAUGGGCAGCGACAUAAUGCACCAUGGCAUGACGAUUAGAUCAGCGAUAUGAUUGUUGCGGUGGACAAUGCCAAGGAUCAGUUCUUUUUGUCGAUUGUUGUGUGGGAUUCUAUGUCAAUAUUUUCUGGAAACUUCUGUUUUCUUGAUUCAAAUUAUUUAAGAAAUUGUGAAUUUUGGUGCCUUUUGUAAGUAAAUGUCAGUGUCAAGGCGCCUUUUGUAUAUUUCAAGUAAUUCUUAGAACGUUGCCAA